rnacentral:rRNA from 1 species
UACGAAGGGUGCAAACGUUGCUCGGAAUUAUUGGGCGUAAAGAGCUCGUAGGCGGUUUGUCGCGUCUGCCGUGAAAGUCCGGGGCUCAACUCCGGAUCUGCGGUGGGUACGGGCAGACUAGAGUGAUGUAGGGGAGACUGGAAUUCCUGGUGUAGCGGUGAAAUGCGCAGAUAUCAGGAGGAACACCAGCGGCGAAGGCGGCGCUCUGGGCCGGUACUGACACUGAGGAGCGAAAGCGUGGGUAGCAAACAGG